rnacentral:lncRNA from 13 species
AUGGAUGUAAUCCUGUUUAAUCUUCACAACAACUUUUUGAGCUAGUUAUUCCUAGCUUUAUUUUACUGAUGAGGAAGAACUCAGAGAAUUUGCAUGCCUUAGCCAUCAGCAAGCAAUAAGUCAGAAUUUAAUUCAGGUUUUCUGUCUUUUAAACCUCUUAUUCCUAGUUUCCAUUAUUACUUUCCCCAUAAGAAAUGUUCUGAUUAGUGAAAAUAAAAAUGUAAAGGUUAAAUUAUGUAUUUUAUCUAGCACUGGCAUGAAAUAACACUCUAUAAAAUAUUACACUAAAAUUUCAUGACAUCAAAGUUUCUGAAGUUCAGUGUUUUUAUAAACUCACCAAAUUCACAUUGAAAUUACUCAGAUUAUAUUACAUAUCAAAUCUCAUUGGAUGUUUUAGAAGUGGAUAAAACUUGUUUAUCUCUAUAUUUUGAAAACUUUUCAUUCUUUAACACUAGUAACAUAGACGUAUUGAUACAAUAUAUGCUAACCUUUCUUUGAGAGGAAAGCAAAACUCCAAAUCAAUUCUGGUUGAACUUACAAAAGAAUUAUGUUGUGUGGUACUAUGUAUUAAUCUCAAUAGGAUCUUGCAUCAGAGGUUACACUCAAAAGAGUCAUCUCAUAGCCAUUCCUGCUAAGGAUUAGCAAUAAGAAUCUGGGAACAGAUGUCUGUUAGGUAUCCCUGCAUGCCUGAGUGUAGACUAUGAUCUCAUUUUAUGCACUAUUCUAAUAUCCUUGUUUUUUUGUUGUUCAGCAGUGAAGCCUGUGGAGAGCUGGAAAGAAAUAUUAUUUCCUGUAGUUCACCAUCUGUGGACCAAGGUCUUCAUUCUGUUUGGACUCUACCCUGAUGAGAUUUAAUCCCUCCAGACCCAUGAGAAGGUAGCUAUUUUUUUCUUAAAACCUCAUAACAC